UGGGAUGUUGUGUAGCGGCAGCACAUGAGACUUUGACUCUUAUAGUACAGGUUCAACCCCUGUCAUCCCAGCCA
rnacentral:tRNA from 1 species